rnacentral:rRNA from 1 species
GUUAUAUGGUCAAGCGAAUAAGCGCACACGGUGGAUGCCUAGGCGGUCAGAGGCGAUGAAGGACGUGGUAGCCUGCGAAAAGUGUCGGGGAGCUGGCAACAAGCUUUGAUCCGGCAAUAUCCGAAUGGGGAAACCCACUGCUUCGGCAGUAUCCUGCAGUGAAUUCAUAGCUGCUGGAAGCGAACCCGGUGAACUGAAAUAUCUAAGUAACCGGAGGAAAAGAAAUCAACCGAGAUUCCCUAAGUAGUGACGAGCGAACGGGGAGCAGCCCUUAAGCUGGAAUGGCUUUAGAAAAACAAUCUGGAAAGAUUGGCCAUAGAAGGUGAUAGCCCUGUAUUUAAAAGGGCCACUCCAGUGAAGACGAGUAGGGCGGGGCACGUGAAACCCUGUCUGAAUAUGGGGGGACCAUCCUCCAAGGCUAAAUACUCCUGACCGACCGAUAGUGAACCAGUACCGUGAGGGAAAGGUGAAAAGAACCCGGAGAGGGGAGUGAAAUAGAUCCUGAAACCGUGUGCGUACAAGCAGUAGGAGCUCGCAAGAGUGACUGCGUACCUUUUGUAUAAUGGGUCAGCGACUUACUGUUCGUGGCAAGCUUAACCGUAUAGGGGAGGCGAAGGGAAACCGAGUCUGAUAAGGGCGCAUAGUCGCGGGCAGUAGACCCGAAACCGGGUGAUCUAGUCAUGGCCAGGGUGAAGGUGCCGUAACAGGUACUGGAGGCCCGAACCCACGUCUGUUGCAAAAGACGGGGAUGAGCUGUGAUUAGGAGUGAAAAGCUAAUCGAACCCGGAGAUAGCUGGUUCUCCUCGAAAGCUAUUUAGGUAGCGCCUCAUAUGUAUCCUCUCGGGGGUAGAGCACUGUUAUGGCUAGGGGGUCAUCGCGACUUACCAAACCAUUGCAAACUCCGAAUACCGAGACGGACUGUAUGGGAGACACACGGCGGGUGCUAACGUCCGUCGUGAAAAGGGAAACAACCCAGACCCACAGCUAAGGUCCCAAAUUCACUGCUAAGUGGAAAACGAUGUGGAAAGGCAUAGACAGCCAGGAGGUUGGCUUAGAAGCAGCCACCCUUUAAAGAAAGCGUAAUAGCUCACUGGUCGAGUCGGUCUGCGCGGAAGAUUUAACGGGGCUAAGCAGUGAACCGAAGCUUGGGGUGCAUAAAACUUGUUUUAUGCGCGGUAGAGGAGCGUUCCGUAAGCCUGCGAAGGUGGAUUGAGAAGUCUGCUGGAGGUAUCGGAAGUGCGAAUGCUGACAUGAGUAACGAUAAUGCGGGUGAAAAGCCCGCACGCCGAAAGCCCAAGGUUUCCUUGCGCAACGUUAAUCGACGCAGGGUUAGUCGGUCCCUAAGGCGAGGGCGAAAGCCGUAGUCGAUGGGAAGCAGGUUAAUAUUCCUGCACCUCGCGUGAGUGCGAUGGAGGGACGGAGAAGGUUAGGUGUACCGGGCGUUGGUUGUCCCGGGGAAAGGCGGUAGGUUUGGAUCUUUGGCAAAUCCGGGAUCCUUUAAGACCGAGCACCGAGACGAGCCUUUAUGGCGAAGUCACUGAUACCACGCUUCCAGGAAAAGCUCCUAAGCUUCAGCUCACGAAGACCGUACCGUAAACCGACACAGGUGGGUAGGAUGAGAAUUCUCAGGCGCUUGAGAGAACUCGGGUGAAGGAACUAGGCAACAUGGCACCGUAACUUCGGGAGAAGGUGCACCCUUUUUGGUGGCUCGUGCGAGCUAUAGCUGAAGAGGGUCGCAGAAACCAGGCCGCUGCGACUGUUUAUCAAAAACACAGCACUCUGCAAACACGAAAGUGGACGUAUAGGGUGUGACGCCUGCCCGGUGCUGGAAGGUUAAUUGAUGGGGUCAGCCGCAAGGCGAAGCUCUUGAUCGAAGCCCCAGUAAACGGCGGCCGUAACUAUAACGGUCCUAAGGUAGCGAAAUUCCUUGUCGGGUAAGUUCCGACCUGCACGAAUGGCGUAACGACAGCGGCGCUGUCUCCACCCGAGACUCAGUGAAAUUGAAAUCGCUGUGAAGAUGCAGCGUUCCCGUGGCAAGACGGAAAGACCCCGUGAACCUUUACUAUAGCUUUACACUGAACGUUGAGUUCGUCUGUGUAGGAUAGGUGGGAGGCUAUGAAACUGUGGCGCUAGCUGCAGUGGAGCCAUCCUUGAAAUACCACCCUGUCGUGCUUGACGUUCUAACCUAGGUCCGUUAUCCGGAUCAGGGACCGUGUAUGGUGGGUAGUUUGACUGGGGCGGUCUCCUCCUAAAGAGUAACGGAGGAGCACGAAGGUACGCUCAGCGCGGUCGGACAUCGCGCACUGUGUGCAAAGGCAUAAGCGUGCUUGACUGCAAGAUCGACGGAUCAAGCAGGUACGAAAGUAGGUCUUAGUGAUCCGGUGGUUCUGUAUGGAAGGGCCAUCGCUCAACGGAUAAAAGGUACUCCGGGGAUAACAGGCUGAUACCGCCCAAGAGUUCAUAUCGACGGCGGUGUUUGGCACCUCGAUGUCGGCUCAUCACAUCCUGGGGCUGUAGUCGGUCCCAAGGGUAUGGCUGUUCGCCAUUUAAAGUGGUACGCGAGCUGGGUUCAGAACGUCGUGAGACAGUUCGGUCCCUAUCUGCCAUGGGCGUUGGAAGUUUGAGAGGGGCUGCUCCUAGUACGAGAGGACCGGAGUGGACGAACCUCUGGUGUUCCGGUUGUCACGCCAGUGGCAUUGCCGGGUAGCUAUGUUCGGAAGCGAUAACCGCUGAAAGCAUCUAAGCGGGAAGCGCGCCUCAAGAUGAGACUUCCCGGGGCACAAGCCCCCUAAAGGAACCAUGUAGACUACGUGGUUGAUAGGUCAGGUGUGUAAGUACAGCAAUGUAUUGAGCUAACUGAUACUAAUGAUCCGUGCGGCUUGACCAUAUAACCUCA